rnacentral:rRNA from 1 species
UACGGAGGAGGCAAGCGUUAUCCGGAAUUAUUGGGCGUAAAGCGUCCGUAGGUGGUAAUUCAAGUCUGCUGUUAAAGCGUGAGGCUUAACCUCAUAAAGGCAGUGGAAACUGAAUUGCUAGAGAACAGAAGGGGCAACGGGAAUUCCUAGUGUAGCGGUGAAAUGCGUAGAUAUACGGAGGAACACCAGCGGCGAAGGCGGGUAGCUGGGCCAACACUGACGCUGAUGCGCGAAAGCUAGGGUAGCAAACGGG